ACGAAGGUUUUCGAGUAUCAAAGAGAUAUUAAAUUGGUUGUGAGUCGUGUAAAUAUUUUAUCUUGAUUUGGAGGUAUUCGUAACAACUAACAAGCAAUAUUUUUGUCUCUGGCUCCCUGCAUGAAUAGCGAUCGUCUAAGGCGCCGGAUAAGGUGGCAAGGAAGGCCAAGAACACGUGAAAUGGGUAAAGGGAGAGAAGGUGGGCAAAAGGACAAACCUAGAGAGAGAGAAAUAACGUAAGGUUCUUCAUCUAAAAAAAAAGAGUAAUAACGUACGGAGGAUGCGUUUUAAAGACGUAAGUCUUACCGAUAGGAAAAGACGUGUGACAGCGUACGAAAAUCAUGUAGAGCGGGCAGGAGAGAAGAUAUGGGGAGCGGU
rnacentral:lncRNA from 1 species